UUAAAUUGAAGAGUUUGAUCAUGGCUCAGAUUGAACGCUGGCGGCAGGCCUAACACAUGCAAGUCGAACGGUAACAGGAAGCAGCUUGCUGCUUUGCUGACGAGUGGCGGACGGGUGAGUAAUGUCUGGGAAACUGCCYGAUGGAGGGGGAUAACUACUGGAAACGGUAGCUAAUACCGCAUAACGUCGCAAGACCAAAGAGGGGGACCUUCGGGCCUCUUGCCAUCGGAUGUGCCCAGAUGGGAUUAGCUAGUAGGUGGGGUAAAGGCUCACCUAGGCGACGAUCCCUAGCUGGUCUGAGAGGAUGACCAGCCACACUGGAACUGAGACACGGUCCAGACUCCUACGGGAGGCAGCAGUGGGGAAUAUUGCACAAUGGGCGCAAGCCUGAUGCAGCCAUGCCGCGUGUAUGAAGAAGGCCUUCGGGUUGUAAAGUACUUUCAGCGGGGAGGAAGGGAGUAAAGUUAAUACCUUUGCUCAUUGACGUUACCCGC
rnacentral:rRNA from 1 species